CUCAGGAGAACGGGAUGAAAUCCAGUCUCACAUUAAUCCAGAAAUGAUCAGGAGAAGCCUCCAAGUCGCUGACAGCCACUGAUCUCUCAGUGGAUCCCCUGAUCUCAUUCUACAGUUGAGCAGCAAGUGUCAGUAAGAAUCAAUGCCUUCUAUCUUAUUCACCAGUUGCAGCCCAAGUUGUCAGUAAAGACCAAGAUCUCCUAUCUCCAUCAGUUGAGCACCAAGUGUCAAUAAGGAUCAAUAUCCUUUCUAAGUAUGGGUCACAUCCCUGUCAUCCUGUUCUCUUUGGCUUCAUUUACCUUUGAAAAUCUAAACUUGUCCUGGGAAUUUUCAUCAAUGUUUUUACCAGUGGUGUUCUCCCUCACUUGUGACCAGAAUGCA